CCUGUUCGCAAAAGAAGUUAGGAAAAUUAUAAGUAACAGAAGAAACCCAUCAUGAAUGAGUAAAAUCUUACUUCUUUCUACAAACUGCGUGUGCGACUUCGAAUUCUGAAAUUGAUAAUCUUCUCCUGAGUUUCUUAACCUCUUUGCCAUAAUGCUAGACAAACACAACAAUGAAAAUUCAUCAAAACCAGCAAAAUCGCAUCCAGAUCAAAAAAUAGGAUAAAAAUUAAUUAAUUUCAUAGAAAGAGCAAUAAUCAAAUAUCGAAUUGAAGAAAAAUAACCUAAACUAUUUUCUGAUAUGACAAAAACCUCGAAUUCAUCACAAUAGGGAAUG
rnacentral:lncRNA from 1 species